UUGUCGUUGGCGGAGUUCCCGCAGGCCGCCAAACCAGCGGCGAAGACGACGGAGAGAGCGGCUGCCAGAGCCGCGCGGCGAA
rnacentral:tRNA from 1 species